AACCCAUGAUGAGAGCACAUUCUCAAAAGAUCUUUAAAUCUCUCCCAUGUAUCAUAUACUGUCUCUAUAUCAAAUUGAACAAUAGAAGAGAUGUCGUUUCUCAACUU
rfam:Gossypium raimondii chromosome 2, whole genome shotgun sequence.